AUUCCAAUCGAACUCGGAGAUAGCUGGUUCUCCCCGAAAUAGCUUUAGGGCUAGCCUCAUAUUAGAUACCCGGAGGUAAAGCACUGAAUGGCCUAGCGCCCGAGAGGGUAGCGAAGCCUAUCAAACUAAGAAUGCCGGAGUAUUGAUGUAUGGGAGUCAGACAGUGUGAGAUAAAUCUCAUUGUCAAAAGGGAAACAGCCCAGAUCUACAGCUAAGGUCCCAAAUUGUAUCUAAGUGGAAAACGAUGUGGAAAUACGCAGACAACCAGGAUGUUGGCUCAGAAGCAGCCACUCAUUUAAAGAGUGCGUAAUAGCUCACUGGUCGAGCGUCUCUGCGCGGAAAAUUUAACGGGGCUAAGAUACAAACCGAAGCUUAGGCUGCAUCGUAAGAUGCGGGGUAGGGGAGCGUUGUGUAAGCGGAGAAACAGUAGCGUAAGCGGCUGUGGAGUUUACAGAAGUGAGAAUGCCGGAAUGAGUAGCGCGAAUGUGGUGAGAAUCCACAUGGCCGGAAACCUCAGGUUUUUGGAGGAAGGUUCGUCCGCUCCAAGUUAGGCGGGAGCUAAGGUCAGGCCGAAAGGCGUAGCCGAUGCACAGACGGUAGAGAUUCCGUCCCCACCGAAAGAUUUAAGCACAGGGACACUUUUUGAAGGUCGGAGCCAGGUGUUGGUUCUGGUAGUGAUCGAGGGAAAUAUAGUACCGAAGUCCGGCUGGAAGAGAGGCGAGAAAAGCUGUGUGUAUAUCUAAGGUGCCCGUACCGCAAACCGACACAGGUAGGUAGGAAGAAGAUUCUAAGGCCAACGGGAGAAGGGUUGUUAAGGAACUCGGCAAGUUGACCCCGUAACUUCGGAAUAAGGGGUGCUCACGAGAGUGAGCCGCAGAGAAUAGGCCCAGGCAACUGUUUACCAAAAACACAGGUUUGUGCUAAAUCGAAAGAUGACGUAUACGAGCUGACGCCUGCCCGGUGCUGGAAGGUUAAAAGGAGAUGUGCAAGCAUUGAAUUGAAGCCCCAGUGAACGGCGGCCGUAACUAUAACGGUCCUAAGGUAGCGAAAUUCCUUGUCAGGUAAGUUCUGACCCGCAUGAAAGGCGUAAUGAUCUGGGCACUGUCUCAACAGCCCGCCCGGCGAAAUUGUAGUACCGGUGAAGAUGCCGGUUACCCGCGACAAGACGGAAAGACCCCAUGGAGCUUUACUGUAGCCUGAUAUUGGGUUUCGGUGUUGCAUGCACAGGAUAGAUGGGACGCUGGGAAAGAAGCGCUUUGGCGUUUCUGGAGCGGACGUUGGGAUACCAUCCUUGCGACAUUGGAAUUCUAACCUGCGCCUCUGAAUCGAGGCGGGGGACAUUGUCAGGUGGGCAGUUUGACUGGGGCGGUCGCCUCCUAAAAAGUAGCGGAGGCGUUCAAAGGUUCGUUCGAUCUGGACGGAAACCAGAUGAUUGAGUGCAAACGCAUAAACGAGCCUGACUGCGAGACUGACGGGUCGAGCAGAGACGAAAGUCGGAGUUAGUGAUCCGGUGGUAUGUGAGUGGAAAUGCCAUCGCUCAACGGAUAAAAGUUACCCUGGGGAUAACAGGCUGAUCUCCCCCAAGAGUCCACAUCGACGGGGAGGUUUGGCACCUCGAUGUCGGCUCAUCGCAUCCUGGGGCUGAAUUCGGUCCCAAGGGUUUGGCUGUUCGCCAAUUAAAGCGGUACGCGAGCUGGGUUCAGAACGUCGUGAGACAGUUCGGUCCCUAUCUGUCGUGGGCGCAGGAUAUUUGAAAGGCGCUGUCCCUAGUACGAGAGGACCGGGAUGGACGAACCUCUGGUGCACCAGUUGUCACGCCAGUGGCACAGCUGGGCAGCUAUGUUCGGAUCGGAUAAACGCUGAAAGCAUCUAAGCGUGAAGCCGGCCUUAAGAUAAGAUAUCCCACUGAGUCAAUCAGGUAAGACCCCUUGAAGACUACAAGGUUGAUAGGCACACAGUGUAAGCGGAGUGAUCCGUUCAGCUAGCGUGUACUAAUAGGUCGAGGGCUUGACCC
rnacentral:rRNA from 1 species